UGCGUUGACGGCGGAGGCCCCCACCGCCAGCCCUAGAUUGUACAUUUUGCGGCCCGUGCCCUGGCAAUCUUACACCUUUGUAACGGAGAUAGGACGAUCAUUCUACUAGAUCAGGCAUGAGCGAGUUAUUUCGGCAAUGAUCGAAGCCACAAGCCACUACUCCACUACUACUCUACUACUCUGUGUACAUUACUACAAAUAACAUGAACAGCCCCGCGUGGAACACAGAAGAAACAAUGUCAUAUCGUUUUUCGUGUCUCGUAGGUGUCUGAAGGACGAGUCAUGGAUCGUGACUCGCCCAUGCCCUAAUUACUAAAAUACUUUUUUUGAAUGUAGUUAUUGCUUGAAAUAACAAAAAAAUAAAAACUUUUUAAAAUUUU